rnacentral:rRNA from 1 species
GACAGAGGCCCCGAGCGUUAAUCGGAAUCACUGGGCUUAAAGGGUGCGUAGGCUGGCCUGCAAGUGCUUCGUGAAAGCCCACGGCUCAACCGUGGAACAGCGGGGCAUACUGCGGGUCUUGAGGCAGGUAGGGGUCGCGAGAACAGUAGGUGGAGCGGUGAAAUGCGUAGAUAUCUACUGGAAUGCCGAUGGUGAAGACGCGCGACUGGGCCUGUCCUGACGCUGAGGCACGAAAGCGUGGGGAGCAAACAGG